GAUGAACGCUGGCGGCGUGCCUAAUACGUGCAAGUCGAGCGAACAGACGAGGAGCUUGCUCCUCUGACGUUAGCGGCGGACGGGUGAGUAACACGUGGAUAACCUACCUAUAAGACUGGGAUAACUUCGGGAAACCGGAUCUAAUACCGGAUAAUAUAUUGAACCGCAUGGUUCAAUAGUGAAAGACGGUUUUGCUGUCACUUAUAGGUGGAUCCGCGCCGCAUUAGCUAGUUGGUAAGGUAACGGCUUACCAAGGCAACGAUGCGUAGCCGACCUGAGAGGGUGAUCGGCCACACUGGAACUGAGACACGGUCCAGACUCCUACGGGAGGCAGCAGUAGGGAAUCUUCCGCAAUGGGCGAAAGCCUGACGGAGCAACGCCGCGUGAGUGAUGAAGGUCUUCGGAUCGUAAAACUCUGUUAUUAGGGAAGAACAAAUGUGUAAGUAACUAUGCACGUCUUGACGGUACCUAAUCAGAAAGCCACGGCUAACUACGUG
rnacentral:rRNA from 1 species